AGCCUUGGUUUUUGCUGUCUUAAUUUUCUUCAUCUCAUUUGUUUUCUUCCGAAAGCAUCGCAUCAUUACAUCGAACGAAAAGCAUCCCACCUAUCGUUAACCUCUCUUUUGCUAGUCAGCCAGCUACUGUUUCCUCCCUUGUCACUUCGGACUCUUUCUCUUUCGUCGAUGCCUCUUCUCUCUCUUCCCACUCUUUCCCUUGAUGCUGACGCCACCAUUUGUUUCUCUUCUAUCUGUGUCUUCCUUGCUCACUUUGGCUGAACAGUCAAGUGAAGAUGGUUGCUAGAUUCCUUAAUUAUUGGUUUAAAAAGGAUAGCCAAUGAUGGGGAAUUUCUUUUGGCAAGAUAAUGAGAACUUUGUGGAUGAUGGUAUUCAAAUAGAACCUUUUCAAUCUGAACAAAGAAAGAGAAGAAGGAUACUUUAUUGUAGAUGGGAACUUUGUUGAAUAUCGCAAUGACAAUGAAAUCAAGGAUGUGUGGGUUGAUAAUGUUGAAGCUGAUACAAAAUAUAUAGGAAAAACAUCUGCAACAACAAACAAUGAAGAUAAUAAUGAAGUUGGGACACAAGAUCUUUCCUUUCAAGACAUUGGGAUAAUGAAAAGACGUAUUGUUGAUGUGCUCAAGCCUGGAGAAACAGUAAUAUUACAUGAUGAUAGUUAUUCUGUCUAAAAGAAAAAAAAAUUCUUUGGUAAAAGGAAUAAUUGUGUUACAUAUUUGUUCCAAAAUUUGCAUUAUGCUUUGAUUUUCAUGAUACGAGUAUACUUAGUUUAUAUUAGAUUUUGAUAUAUUUGCUGAACA